rnacentral:rRNA from 1 species
AUAGGAAAUUAAGAGCAUAUGGCGGAUGCCUUGGUUCUACAUGGCGAUGAAAGACGUAGUAUGGCUGCGAUAAGCUUCGGGGAGGUGCCUAACAACCUUUGAUCCGGAGAUGUCUGAAUGGGGAAACCCAAUAGAGUAAACCUCUAUUAUCUCGGUCCAUAAGAGACCUUGAUGCGCACCUCGGGAAGUGAAACAUCUCAGUACCGAGAGGAAAAGAAAACAAUGUGACGUAUGUCAUAACAUUCCCCAAGUAGCGGCGAGCGAAAAGGGAACAGCCCAAACCGGAGCGUGCUUGCACGAUCCGGGGUUGUAAGGCAGUGAGUCUCGUUUUACGAGAAAAGUUACAAAAUGUAUGUAUAGAAAAAGUUGUUGGAAACCAACACCAUAGUGGGUGAUAGUCCCGUAUUCGAAAUACAUAUAUCUUUUUAUCACUGUUCUUGAGUACUUCAAGACACGAAUAGCUUGAAGGAAUCCACCAGAACUAACUGGUAAGGCUAAAUACAUUGUAGAGACCGAUAGUGAACUAGUACCGUGAGGGAAAGGUGAAAAGUACUCCGAAAGGAGGGUGAAAUAGUACUGAAACCAUAUGCUUACAAGGAGUCGGAGCGGGUAUUUAUAUCCGUCACGGCGUGCCUAUUGAAGAAUGAGCCAACGAGUUUAUGUGUGCGGCUUGGCUAAGGAGUACAGCUCCGGAGCCAUAGCGAAAGCAAGUGUUAAUAGCGCGUCUGCCCCUCGGGGCGGUCGUACACAUAAGACCCGAAGCCAGGUGAGCUACCCAUGAGCAGGGUGAAGUUUGUCGAAAGACAGAUGGAGGCCCGAACCGGUUUGUCGUACAACGCAUUCGGAUGACUUGUGGGUUGGAGUGAAAAGCUAAUCGAACCUUGUAAUAGCUGGUUCUCUCUGAAACAACUUUUGGGUUGGCGUCGUAUGUAUUGAGUAGUGGGGGUAGAGCACUGGAAGGACUCAACAGGCCGCAAGGCCGUGAGUCCUAUCAAACUCCGAAUACCAUUAUUGUUAUACGGCAGUUAGUACGUGGGGGCUAAGCUCCACCGUACAAAAGGAGAAGAGUCCUAGAUCUCAAGUUAAGGUCCCAAAAUUCGUGUUAAGUACAUCACAAGGAGGUGAGAUUUCUUAGACAAUGAGGAUGUUGGCUUAGAAGCAGCCAUCUUUUAAAUAAAGCGUCACAGCUCACUCAUCAAGAGAUCUCGCGCCGCAGAUAAUCGGGGUUAAGCACAUUACCGAAUUUGAGGGCUUGUGAGUUUCAUAAAGGAAGUAACAGUUUCUGCAACUUCUCCCUGGGGAUACCGUUAAAAUAAAAAAUCAUAAAGAGUUCGCCGCGUAUUAACAACACAUGGAAGCAUCUCUUUAAGUCAAGUCGUCUUUAACUUAAGAAAACAUGACGUUGAUGAUUUUAUAUUUGGUAUCUCCGGGGAAACCAAUUGAUUGUUGCAGUAGUAAUUUCUUCCUUCUUUUAUGAAACUCAUAAGCGGUAGGAGAGUAUUCCACUCUCGCUGUGAAGGCAAAGACGUGAGUCAUGCUGGAGCGUGUGGAAGUAAGAAUGUUGGCACAAGUAACCGCAAGGAAGGUGAGAUCCCUUCCCGUCGAAAGAUCAAGGUUUCCUGGGCAAUGGUGAUCAUCCCAGGGUUAGUCGGGUCCUAAGGUCAUGGCGAAAGCCGCAGUCGAUGGACAUAAGGUUAAUAUUCCUUAACUUGGUAGUAAUGUGAUGGGAUGACGGAGGGUAGUAUGUAAUGCGUCUUAUUGGAUUGACGUUUAUUGUGUAAGGAACGUGCGCAGGGAAAUCCACGCGCGUUGAUUUAAUUCAGCUUCCAAGCACCGUAUGAAGGAAAGGGGCAACCUGAUUCAACUUUACAAAGCACACUUUCAAGAAAAGUCUCUACAUUCUGUGAAUACAGAACGUCUAUGUGUGUCUUAACUUAUAAGAUACACAUAGAUGCUUAAGUUACUAUUAAUCCGUACCGCAAACCGACACAGGUAUUCAGGUCGAGUAGACCAAGGCGAACGAGUGAGAGGUCUCCAAGGAACUCGGCAAAAAAGCAGCCGUAACUUCGGAAUAAGGCUUGCCUCCUCUUAAUUGAGGAGGCCGCAGCUAAAGUAUCUCUGGCAACUGUUUAUCAAAAACACAGCUCCCUGCGAACUCGUAAGAGGAUGUAUAGGGGGUGACACCUGACCAAUGCCAGAAGGUCAAAUAUUGGCGUUGCUAUCCGCAAGGGUGGUGGUGACUGAUAUAAGCCCUGGUGAAUGUCGGCCGUAACUAUAACGGUCCUAAGGUAGCGAAAUUCCUUGUCGGGUAAGUUCCGACGC